AGAGUUUGAUCCUGGCUCAGGAUGAACGCUGGCGGCGUGCCUAAUACAUGCAAGUCGAGCGAACGGACGAGAAGCUUGCUUCUCUGAUGUUAGCGGCGGACGGGUGAGUAACACGUGGAUAACCUACCUAUAAGACUGGGAUAACUUCGGGAAACCGGAGCUAAUACCGGAUAAUAUUUUGAACCGCAUGGUUCAAAAGUGAAAGACGGUCUUGCUGUCACUUAUAGAUGGAUCCGCGCUGCAUUAGCUAGUUGGUAAGGUAACGGCUUACCAAGGCAACGAUGCAUAGCCGACCUGAGAGGGUGAUCGGCCACACUGGAACUGAGACACGGUCCAGACUCCUACGGGAGGCAGCAGUAGGGAAUCUUCCGCAAUGGGCGAAAGCCUGACGGAGCAACGCCGCGUGAGUGAUGAAGGUCUUCGGAUCGUAAAACUCUGUUAUUAGGGAAGAACAUAUGUGUAAGUAACUGUGCACAUCUGGACG
rnacentral:rRNA from 1 species